CGACCGCUGGCGGCGUGCUUAACACAUGCAAGUCGAACGGAAAGGCCCUGCUUUUGUGGGGUGCUCGAGUGGCGAACGGGUGAGUAACACGUGAGUAACCUGCCCUUGACUUUGGGAUAACUUCAGGAAACUGGGGCUAAUACCGGAUAGGAGCUCCUGCUGCAUGGUGGGGGUUGGAAAGUUUCGGCGGUUGGGGAUGGACUCGCGGCUUAUCAGCUUGUUGGUGGGGUAGUGGCUUACCAAGGCUUUGACGGGUAGCCGGCCUGAGGGGGUGACCGGCCACAUUGGGACUGAGAUACGGCCCAGACUCCUACGGGAGGCAGCAGUGGGGAAUAUUGCACAAUGGGCGGAAGCCUGAUGCAGCAACGCCGCGUGCGGGAUGACGGCCUUCGGGUUGUAAACCGCUUUCGCCUGUGACGAAGCGUGAGUGACGGUAAUGGGUAAAGAAGCACCGGCUAACUACGUG
rnacentral:rRNA from 1 species